rnacentral:rRNA from 1 species
AAAUUUGGUGAUUUACAAUAACUUAGCAAAUCGCAUAGUGAAAACUGGCGAUAAAUCAUUCAAGUUUCUGACCUAUCAGCUUUCGACGGUAUGGUAUUGGCUUACCGUGGCAGUGACGGUUAACGGGGGAUUAGGGUUCGAUUCCGGAGAGGGAGCCUGAGAAACGGCUACCACAUCUAAGGAAGGCAGCAGGCGCGCAAAUUACCCAAUUCUAACAGCAUGAGAGAGGUAGUGACAAGAAAUAACAAUACAAGGCAGUUAAAAUGCUUUGUAAUUGGAAUGAUAGAAAUUUAAACACUUUUUAAAGUAUCAAUUGGAGGGCAAGUCUGGUGCCAGCAGCCGCGGUAAUUCCAGCUCCAAUAGCGUAUAUUAAAAUUGUUGCAGUUAAAAAGCUCGUAGUUGAAUUUCUGUUAAAAAUAACCGGUCUGCUUUUAAUAAAAGUGGUAUCUUGGUGUGUUUUUAGCAAUAAUGUCCUUUGAAAUGUUUUUUACUUUAUUGUAAUAGAUUAUAUUCAGGAUUUUUACUUUGAGAAAAUUAGAGUGUUUCUAGCAGGCUAACGCAAAAAAAAAUAUAUAGGGA